rnacentral:rRNA from 1 species
UACGGGGGGGGCAAGCGUUGUUCGGAAUUACUGGGCGUAAAGGGCUCGUAGGCGGCCAACUAAGUCGGACGUGAAAUCCCUCGGCUUAACCGGGGAACUGCGUCCGAUACUGGAUGGCUUGAGUUUGGGAGAGGGAUGCGGAAUUCCAGGUGUAGCGGUGAAAUGCGUAGAUAUCUGGAAGAACACCCGUGGCGAAGGCGGCUCUCUGGGACGGUACUGACGCUGAGACGCGAAAGCGUGGGGAGCGAACAGG